rnacentral:rRNA from 1 species
GAAGCCCAGCUUGCUGGGUGGAUUAGUGGCGAACGGGUGAGUAACACGUGAGUAACCUGCCCUUGACUCUGGGAUAAGCCUGGGAAACUGGGUCUAAUACCGGAUAGGAACGUCCACCGCAUGGUGGGUGUUGGAAAGAUUUAUCGGUCAUGGAUGGACUCGCGGCCUAUCAGCUUGUUGGUGAGGUAAUGGCUCACCAAGGCGACGACGGGUAGCCGGCCUGAGAGGGUGACCGGCCACACUGGGACUGAGACACGGCCCAGACUCCUACGGGAGGCAGCAGUGGGGAAUAUUGCACAAUGGGCGAAAGCCUGAUGCAGCGACGCCGCGUGAGGGAUGACGGCCUUCGGGUUGUAAACCUCUUUCAGUAGGGAAGAAGCGAAAGUGACGGUACCUGCAGAAGAAGCACCGGCUAACUACGUGCCAGCAGCCGCGGUAAUACGUAGGGUGCGAGCGUUAUCCGGAAUUAUUGGGCGUAAAGAGCUCGUAGGCGGUUUGUCGCGUCUGUCGUGAAAGUCCGGGGCUUAACCCCGGAUCUGCGGUGGGUACGGGCAGACUAGAGUGCAGUAGGGGAGACUGGAAUUCCUGGUGUAGCGGUGGAAUGCGCAGAUAUCAGGAGGAACACCGAUGGCGAAGGCAGGUCUCUGGGCUGUAACUGACGCUGAGGAGCGAAAGCAUGGGGAGCGAACA